GCGGACGUAGUUCAGUGGUAGAACGCUAGCUUCCCAAGCUGGAUGUCGUGAGUUCGAGUCUCAUCGUCCGCUCCA
rnacentral:tRNA from 1 species